rnacentral:lncRNA from 1 species
GAAAAACGGGGCUGGCCCCGUGGCGGAGUGGUUAAGUUCGCGCGCUCUGCUGCAGGCGGCCCAGUGUUUCAUUAGUUCGAAUCCUGGGCGCGGACAUGGCACUGCUCAUCAGACCACGCUGAGGCAGCGUCCCACAUGCCACAACUAGAAGGACCCACAACGAAGAAUAUACAACUAUGUACCGGGGGGCUUUGGGGAGAAAAAGGAAAAAAUAAAAUCUUAAAAAAAAAAAAAAAAAGGAGAUAAAAACAAACGUGUACGGCACAGCCAGCCUCGCGGCACGUGUCCGCCCCGGAAGGCAGGCCGAGCCCCGGCCCCCGUCCUUGCGCCGAGCGGCUCUCCGGGCUGUGCAGUGCGCGCGCGGGGCCAACAGGUGGCACAAACGCCUUUGACUUGCGCCGUUCCCGCCCGCCCGCCGCCCCGAUCCGGACCCGGCGGAGGGGCGGCCGCCACUGCGCACUCCCUUCUGCUCCGGCCGUGGCCGGGGCUCGGGUUCGGGGCGACGAUUUGUCCCUUAGUGAGACUCUGGCAUCAUUCAUCUGCUCGAGGGCAGCGAGCAUCGCCAUGGUCUGUGGAGAGAGACGCAGAGACGGAGACUGACUUUACUGAGGCCUGUCCUGUCUCAGGUACUAAGCUACCUGUUUACAUGUAUAAUCCAGUCCUUCAUCGCUCAUAAAGUGGUUCUAUUGUCAUCCCCAUCUUAUGGAAGGAAACUGAUUUUUAAGUGACUAAGUAGCUUGCCUGGAGUGGAUGGACUCACCAACCUGGUAUGUAUAUACCAGACCCUAGGCACUUCAGCAGACUGGAUGUCCUCCCCAAAGAAGGGAGGGGCCAAAUGGGCACAGAAGGGAGAGGUCAGUCCUCAUUAGCCUCAUGUUAGGGUGCAUAGGACCCAGAACGCUUAGCCCCGUAGGCAGAAAUGAACCUCUGUCGUCUCUGACGGACUUACAUGGAGGUGACUCCCCAGGGCCACUCCUGGCUUCCCUCUGACUGCCGUCUCAUUGCCUCCCAAGCCUGACCAUGGCCGGGAGUCCAGCAGAGGACCUUUGACAGAAGUAGAGGUCUCCUGACCCCUGAUUCCAAGGUGGGGGUGGAGGCGGUUGUUUUAAGAUAAGGGAUCUAUUCUGAGCAUGCAUUAAAUAAACCUUCAGACACUAAAAAGUGAUUCUUGAUU